GUGCCUCUGAUGCUUAUUGCACCACAUGUGUUUUUCUUUGAAACAAACUUGCUUUGGCGGUGGGCCCAGCCUGCCGCCAGAGGUCUAAACUUACAACCAAUUUUUUAUCAACUUGUCACACCAGAUUAUUACUAAUAGUCAAAACUUUCAACAACGGAUCUCUUGGUUCUCGCAUCGAUGAAGAACGCAGCGAAAUGCGAUACGUAAUAUGAAUUGCAGAUAUUCGUGAAUCAUCGAAUCUUUGAACGCACAUUGCGCCCUCUGGUAUUCCGGAGGGCAUGCCUGUUUGAGCGUCGUUUCUCCCUCAAACCGCUGGGUUUGGUGUUGAGCAAUACGACUUGGGUUUGCUUGAAAGACGGUAGUGGUAAGGCGGGAUCGCUUUGACAAUGGCUUAGGUCUAACCAAAAACAUUGCUUGCGGCGGUAACGUCUACCACGUAUAUCUUCAAACUUUGACCUCAAAUCAGGUAGGACUACCCGCUGAACUUAAGCAUAUCAAAAGCCCGGAGGAA
rnacentral:rRNA from 1 species